rnacentral:lncRNA from 1 species
UUCCAAAUAACACAAAAAUGUCUCAUUGCUUCAUUAAUUAAAAAUGUAUAAAUUCAAGCACGACGCGAUUGAGCUCAUCAUAUUCAUCCUAUAUAGAACAACCAAUGGUCACAUAAAAAAGAACUAGAUGAUUUUGUGUAACAUUAAGUCCUCAUUUGAGCCCCAUUCUUCUAAAAAUUCAUUUUUUCAAAACUCAUUUUCAAUUACACAUUUUUCAAUAAAAUAUUAUUACAUGCAAACCCAAAAUUUUUCCUUAAUUUUUAACCACACAUUCUCCAUCAAUCUAUUAUUCAAAAUACAUCAUUUUCCCCAAAAUGAGGUUCAAACAAGGGCUAAACUAGUUUGUGAUUGAAACUACCGAAUAAUACCCCUAGGCGAAGCAAGCAAAACUGUAGCGUAAUCUCAUUGGAUGUGCAUUACGUAAUCUUAAAAUUGCCUGAGGGGCUACUCAAAUUAAAGCUAAGUCAAAAUCUAGUACAACAGUAUGCUCGUUCAUAAGGUUCAUGAAUCCUAGGUGUUUCUUGUAAAUGAAUCUAAAAUUUUCUUCUCAUCAAAGGUGUCAAUAUCACUCUUCUUUCUUGCUCGAUUUUACAGCAUCAGCUUCUUCAGAGCUAGUAGUUUUAGACUCGUCGAACUCCAACAACUGCAUGGCACAAUAAAUUAUUCAAUAUCAGCUUUUUGUGAGCUCAAAAUGUAUAGAUUAUUACAUGUCGAAAAUUGUGGAAAUGCAUCAAUGUAUACCACACACGCACACAAUCCUUGUUUUCUGGGGGAAGAUUAACAUAUUCAGUUGAAAACAAGCACCAUGUUGACAAUUCAGUUUAACGGUAGCAAGUUUGGAAGAGAAGUUAUUCAUUGUCUAUGGUGGGAUUUGGUCUUAGUGAAACAGAGCGUAAAUCCAUACGAAAAUAACCGAGCAGGGGCACACCAGUGUAAAAAAUUGGCCAUGGAAGAUGGGGUUUAUCUGAAGUAAAGAAAUAUUGUCCAUAUAAAUUUGGAACUGCUANN